rnacentral:rRNA from 1 species
GAGAGUUAAACAGUACGUGAAAUUGUUGAAAGGGAAACGAUUGAAGUCAGUCAUACCAACGGGAAAUCAACCUCUUGAGUUUGGUCUCGUGGGUUUUGAAGAGUUUUAAAAGCCUUCGGAUUUUCGAGAUUGGGUUCUUCUGGUGUACUUUCUCGUACGGUUAGUCAACAUCGGUUUUGAAUGUCAUAAAAUGACUGGAGGAAUGUGGCUUCGAUCUCGUAUUGAAGUGUUAUAGCCUUUGGUAGAUGUGAUGUUCGAGACCGAGGAUUGCAACGGAUACCCUUCUGGGCUAUUCGUCUGAUCUCUGAAACGUUGCCUUGAUGUCGAAAGCUUGCUUAUGAUGUUAAGGGUAUUACGGUCAAAAGGUUAGAACGGAUUAAAUUCGUUAAGGAUGUUGACGUAAUGACUUUAAACGA